GACGAACGCUGGCGGCGUGCUUAACACAUGCAAGUCGAACGGUAAGGCCCUUCGGGGUACACGAGUGGCGAACGGGUGAGUAACACGUGGGUGAUCUGCCCUGCACUUCGGGAUAAGCCUGGGAAACUGGGUCUAAUACCGGAUAGGACUCCUGGCUUCAUGGUUGGGGGUGGAAAGCUUUUGCGGUGUGGGAUGGGCCCGCGGCCUAUCAGCUUGUUGGUGGGGUAUUGGCCUACCAAGGCGACGAAGGGUAGCCGGGAUGAGAGGGUGACCGGUCACACUGGGGCUAAGAGGCGGCCCAGUCUCCUACGGGAGGGAGCGGGGGCGAAUCUUGCACAAUGGGCGCAAGCCUGAUGCAGCGACGCCGCGUGAGGGAAGACGGCCUUCGGGUUGUAAACCGCUUUCAGCACCGACGAAGCGCAAGUGACGGUAGGUGCAGAAGAAGGACCGGCCAACUACGUGCCAGCAGCCGCCGUAA
rnacentral:rRNA from 1 species